GUUGCCAAAUUAGCAUUGCUGGUGUCCCUUCAAUGAUCUUUGAGCCUGUCCUUGGGGUUCUUCACUGUGGCUUCCACAUGUGGCUCUUCUGUCCCUCUCUCUUGGUCCCGGAGGGGAGUCUGGUAGACCUCUGUUUUUUCACAUUCACUCCUCUUGUCCUUUUCUUCCGUAAUAUAUUGGGGAUCGUGGGGGUCUCUUGUACGCGCAUCUGCUUCUUUUCUUCUUCAGGAUGUUUUUUUGCCACUGGGAAGUCCCUUAUAGCUUCCGGGACUGCUGUGUAGGCUGUGCUUUGUUCUGGCGGGCUC
rnacentral:lncRNA from 1 species